rnacentral:rRNA from 1 species
AUUGAACGCUGGCGGCAUGCCUUACACAUGCAAGUCGAACGGCAGCACGGGAGCAAUCCUGGUGGCGAGUGGCGAACGGGUGAGUAAUGUAUCGGAACGUGCCCAGUCGUGGGGGAUAACGUAGCGAAAGCUACGCUAAUACCGCAUACGCUCUGUGGAUGAAAGCGGGGGACCGUAAGGCCUUGCGCGAUUGGAGCGGCCGAUAUCAGAUUAGGUAGCUGGUAGGGUAAAGGCCUACCAAGCCGACGAUCUGUAGCUGGUCUGAGAGGACGACCAGCCACACUGGGACUGAGACACGGCCCAGACUCCUACGGGAGGCAGCAGUGGGGAAUUUUGGACAAUGGGCGCAAGCCUGAUCCAGCAAUGCCGCGUGCAGGAUGAAGGCCUUCGGGCUGUAAACUGCUUUUGUACGGAGCGAAAAGGCUCUCUCUAAUACAGGGGGCUCAUGACGGUACCGUAAGAAUAAGCACCGGCUAACUACGUGCCAGCCGCCGCAGUAA